AGUUAGGGAUAGAAUAUGGGGAUUAGAGCAGAUUCUGAGAUCAUACUCUUGAAUCCCUCUACCGUACUGCAUGAUACUAUUUGUUGUGGCAGAUGAUUCCAAUUUAUAACUGUUCGUGGAUAAAAUGAAUAUUUAUAACUGUCUUUAGAUGUUUGUAUUUGCCUAAAUGAGUGUGGAUUGCUAUGUCUGGUUCUAUUGUCAAGUGGGAUCAAAAGAUUAUGUGUAGGAACUGCAACAAUUUCAUGAAUAAUUUUGUAAAAGAAAACAAGUCUGUAUCGUAAACGCCUAAUUUC
rnacentral:lncRNA from 1 species